rnacentral:rRNA from 1 species
GUCCCAGUUCGGAUUGCAGGCUGCAACCCGCCUGCAUGAAGUUGGAAUCGCUAGUAAUCGCGGAUCAGCAUGCCGCGGUGAAUACGUUCCCGGGCCUUGUACACACCGCCCGUCACACCAUGGGAGCCGGUAAUACCCGAAGCCAGUAGUUCAACCGCAAGGAGAGCGCUGUCGAAGGUAGGAUUGGCGACUGGGGUGAAGUCGUAACAAGGUACC